AGCAGUGUAUGGGAGGGAGGAGCAUGAGGUUGGGUGUUGAUUCCCUUGGUUGCCUUUCUGGGAGCUCACAAUAAGCUCGCCGGAUCCCUGGAACAAAGGUCACAGUCCAGUUAAGAGGUCUUCUCCUCCAGUGAUGGGAGGGCCACGUGGAUAUACAGAAACAUGAUGCAUCAUCACUGUAGUGCUCCAGUCAGCCCCCUCAGUAAGAAUCUCCCAGCGCAAGAGUCCAAUACUCUGACCUGCUGAAAAUGCAGCACCCUUUCUCCAUAGAGGCUGAGAAGUCCAAGAUCAAGGCGAUGGCUAAUCUUGUGUCUGGUGAAGGCCGUCUUCUUGGUUUACAGUGGACAUCUGCUUGCUGUGUUUUCACAUGAGAGAGAGCUGAGUGGAAGAAAGAACAGGGAGACAAGAUGGCGGCUUCUAGCAAGGAACUCUGUUACUUCUUUGUGAAAUCCUGGGGAAAAAAAAUGAUCCCAAGAGUAGAAAGGUUAUACAGGUACUUUAGAUUGUGGGUUCUGGAAGACCUAAAGGGUGACAUUUAAGCUAAAUGGCCAUUAGAAGCACCCAUACAUCCAUAGGGAAAGUCAGUUCUUAGCAGUGGAAUUAGAUCAUGGAAAGGCCUGAUAGCGGUGAAUGGGCUUGACUUCUUGUAGGAACUUAAGAAGCACUAUAGAAUGGGAGUUCAGAGGGUGAAGGGAAAAUUGAUACUGAGGAAGUUCAAAGAAAUAGGUAGUACAGAGAUCUUGUAGGGUUUUCUAAAGCUGGGAAAGAAAUUUAUCGUUUGCUUUGUACCAAAUAUAAUGAGAAGCCCUACACUAUUUUUCAUCAAGGGAAUUAUGUGGUCUUAUUUAUAUAUUUUUUUAAUUUUUUAAUGUUUAUUUUUGAGAGAGACAGAGCACAAAGAAGGGGCAGAGAGAGAGGGGUACAGAGGAUCUGAAGUGGGCUCCAUGCUGACAGCAGAGAGACCAAUGCAAGGCUCAACCUUCCGAGCGGUAAGAUCAUAACCUCAGCCGAAGUCAGACGCUUAACUGACAGAGCCACCCAGGCAGCCCAAGUCGUAUUUAUAUUUUUAAGAAUUACUUUUACUGCUGUACAAAGAAUGAUUCAUGGAAGGGUCCAAGUAGAACUGAGAAAAACAAUCAGGAGGUUUUUGUAUUUGUCAAGGACAGAGGAAAUGGGUUUGGGCCAGCUAGGGUGGUGGUAGCAGAAAUGGAAAAAGAAGAUGGUUUGAGAUAUGUUUUAUAGGACGAGUGAGCAGUAUGUACUGAUGACUUGGAGAUGAAGGAUGUAGACAGAUAAAUAAAAAAUAACACCUAGAUUUUGGUCACUGAAUACGAAUGCUACUGGAGCUUUUUACAGAAAGGUGGAAAAGGAAGGAAAGAAGGAGCUGCUUUGGACGGACAAACCAUGAGUUCACUUUUAGUUUGAAAUGCCUGGCAGAAAGUCAAGUGAUGACAUCAAAACAUGUGGUGAUUUGAAAUCUAUGGAAAUAUGAUUGCAGUCAGGGCUCAAGGGCCCAGGAAAUAUUUUGCCUUUUUGAAAAAAAUUUCACACAUUUUUGCUCUCAUCUAUUAUAUUUGUGUUUUAUUGCUUAAUCCCAGAGAACAGAUGUAUCUUCUGUCUUACUUUCAUGAUCUAGGGAGAUGCUUUAUUUUAGCCCCUUAAUAGAAACAUGGGAUCAUAAUCCCCAGUCACUGCACAUGAUGAACCUUAAAAACCUAUUCCUGACUAAUAAGGUUCUCAAUGACAAAAUACCUAAAUUGUGACAACCAGUGAUAUGUAUACAUAUAUAUACAUAUAUAUGUAUAUAUAUAUAUAUACACUUCCUUUUUUAAAUGGCACAAAGUGCUCAUUCAUGGUGACAAUGACUCUGACUCACUGGGAAUAAUUGCUUUAAAUAUAGGAACAUGGCUAUUUUAGUUCAACACUUAAAAUAAAAAGAUGCUAGGAACUUAUGUUUGUAGCUGGCCUCCAUCUCCAGUUAUCUGAAUGAUCAUAGUCAAGUUAUUAUAACAUUCCAGUUUCUUCUACCAUAAAAUGAGAGUCCCCAACAAGAUAAUCUUCAGGUCCCUUCCAUUCACAAAAUUAAAUGUAAAAGAAAUCCACAAUUCUCCCAGCACCAGGCACCCUUAACUGCACCUCAUAAAUAAUAAUAAUAAUGUUUCGCAGAGUGUAUGGCAUGAAGUAAGGAUUGUUUGCAAAAUGCAAUUUAAACAGAUCGCGUUUUAUGGCUUGCCAUUUACCGUAGUAGUAAAUAGCAAAUAGGCAGUAGUGCCUAUGUGUAUUUGCUGAUCUGUCAGACAUUGGAAAUAAGGCCAGUGCGUUAUCCCCUUAUGAACCAGAGCACGCACUCAUUCUCUGGGAGAGGCAUUAAGUUUUUAUUGAAAACGACAAACCACUGCAGCUGGGGUGAGCCACAGAGGGGGCUCCUCCAUUACCAUUUAACAUAUGCAUACACGUUUUUCAGAGUGAGUGCCAGGGUUUUCUUAGCCUUGUUCUGCCAUGUGUUGGAGUCAGCAUUCCCAUCUAUUUCAAAGAUUUUAAAGACUACCAUUUUCUCAUCACAUUUUAUCUCCCCAUGUUGGGCUUCACCAGCUCUAAUUAUGUGACUUCCUUUCCUUCUGAUUCUUUUGGCUCAACGUCUCCAAUAUGAUUUGGUUCCACAGCUUCUUCGACAUUCUUUCCAGGCCCCAGGUGGCUAUUCCUUCACAGCUAAAAUCUGCUAAUGCUCUUAAGAUAAUGUCCUUCACCGUUGGAAAUAGAAAAAGAAGAGCAAUAAUCACUGAUUCUCAGUAUGAAAUCUCUAAACAUUGUAUGCCUUCUUUCUUUUAAAUGCCUUAUAUCCUUUUUUGUUGUUUAAAUGAAGUAAAAAGCACCUGGGUGUUAUAGCAUUAGCUCUCUUACGCACGCUUGAAAUAAUCAAAAUUUGAUGUGAUUUAUGCAGUUAUGGAACUAUGAGUUGGGAUUGUAUCCACAGUAUCUUCAUCUAUUAAAUUCAUAUAAUGAACUUACGAUUGAUACAGUACAUUUUCACUCAGUUGCUGAAUUACACAUUGCCUGAAAAUGAGAAACAAUUCUCUGAGUUACAUUAUAUAAAUUGCAGAAAAAUUUAUUCAUUCUCUUCAUACAGAUAAGAAAUGAACAGGAUUUAAGGACUAAGUCUGACCUGGUAUAGAGUUUUUACAAUUUAGGGGCAGCUGAUCAGAUGAUGGAAUUGUUUGCUGAUAUUUUAAUCUGCACCUUAGGAGCACCAUGUACAAUUCAAAGGAUACAACUGGUUAAUUUUGUUCAAUAAAUCCCCAGCACUGUGUAGAAUUUAAUGUAGAGUUCAACCAAAUUUUCAUAUACCAUAUAUAGAAUGGAGCAUGUGGCGUUUAGGUUCAGGGGAACCGAUAAAGCAUUCUGGUUGGUAGAUGGUUCUGUUUGUAUUUGAGUGAAAAUGCUAAGACACUUUCUCUUCAUAUGUGCAUGUACUUGUAGAUUAGUACAGGUGUAAAACUCUCCCAAGGUCACAUAUACACCUUGAAGUUUACUCUGCUGUCUAGUACCAUUUUACAAGAUGAAAUUGCAUAACUUACUGUCUUACAAUAAAACAGCAGUUGAAGGAUGGGAAAAGUGCCAUUUACUAGAAACUAAUUCUUCUAAGCCCAAAUAUUCCUGAAUAUUCUUCUUCUUUUCCCCCAAUAUUAUUAACAUGUCAGAGUAAGCAUAGUUAACAUGUAAUUUAGAGCAAAGAUUAAAUCACAAUCAUGCUUCGUGACAACAAGAUAAACAAGAGAAGAUAGGAAGCCUCCUUCCUUUCUUCUAUUUAUCAACCCACUGAUUCCAGUCCACUUGAGAAGUUCCACUCAAGGCCUGUGGUCUCUGCCACUCCAGUCCAAGGGUCACCCCUUCUGCUCCUUUAUCAUACGUCAAGCACAAGGUUAUACUUCCACUGUGACUUUCACAAUAAUGGAAAGUGAGGCAUUGAUUGUCUUCUUGAAUAGCACUGACAUUGAUGCUUAUGUAGAGAAGGUGCUAUAUUUUAAUAUACGGUGCAUUCUUGAAAUGGUGCUUAAUUAAUAGUUGAGUGUCUAAAAGAAAACAAAUAACCUUGAAGGUUUUAAAUUAAGGUUCCAUUUUCAGAAAACUAAAACUUUUUACAAAUUCCUUAU